CUGCUGGUCUCCCUCGGGGGGCAAYGUGCACGCCCGAGCUCACGACAAACCCCCAUGGGCCUUCGGGCCCGUGGACAUCACACCCCGUCUUAUACAGAAUGUCUUUUUAGUACGUCGCCCUGAAAAAGCGAYGGAACCUUAUACAACUUUCAACAACGGAUCUCUUGGCUCUCGCAUCGAUGAAGAACGCAGCGAAAUGCGAUAAGUAAUGUGAAUUGCAGAUUUUCAGUGAAUCAUCGAAUCUUUGAACGCACCUUGCGCCCCUCGGUAUUCCGAGGGGCAUGCCUGUUUGAGUGUCAUUAAACCUUCAACCCCACCGGCCUUGUCGUGUGGGGCUUGGACUUGGGGUGUGCUGGCGAUUUACGUCGGCUCCCCUUUAAAUGCAUCAGUGAAGAGGGUGCUCGACCAUUUUCCUUUCUCCGGAAGGUGAUGGCCCGUUCGGUGUGAUAAUCCUGUUGCGCCGUCGGACUGGGGUCGAGUUCCGCUUUGCUUCCAACGGUCCCUUGUGGACGACGCCAUUCGAAUUUGACCUCAAAUCAGGUAGGGACUACCC
rnacentral:rRNA from 1 species